UGAGUAACCUGCCCUUGACUCUGGGAUAACCUCGGGAAACCGAAGCUAAUACCGGAUACGACCCUCGGAGGCAUCUCCAGGGGGUGGAAAGAACUUCGGUCAAGGAUGGACUCGCGGCCUAUCAGGUAGUUGGUGAGGUAACGGCUCACCAAGCCGACGACGGGUAGCCGGCCUGAGAGGGUGACCGGCCACACUGGGACUGAGACACGGCCCAGACUCCUACGGGAGGCAGCAGUGGGGAAUAUUGCACAAUGGGCGCAAGCCUGAUGCAGCAACGCCGCGUGAGGGACGACGGCCUUCGGGUUGUAAACCUCUUUUAGUAGGGAAGAAGCGAAAGUGACGGUACCUGCAGAAAAAGCACCGGCUAACUACGUGCCAGCAGCCGCGGUAAUACGUAGGGUGCAAGCGUUGUCCGGAAUUAUUGGGCGUAAAGAGCUCGUAGGCGGUUUGUCGCGUCUGCUGUGAAAACCCGAGGCUCAACCUCGGGCCUGCAGUGGGUACGGGCAGACUAGAGUGCGGUAGGGGAGAUUGGAAUUCCUGGUGUAGCGGUGGAAUGCGCAGAUAUCAGGAGGAACACCGAUGGCGAA
rnacentral:rRNA from 1 species